GACGAACGCUGGCGGCGUGCUUAACACAUGCAAGUCGAGCGGUAAGGCCCUUUCGGGGGUACACGAGCGGCGAACGGGUGAGUAACACGUGGGUGACCUGCCCUUAGCUCUGGGAUAAGCCUGGGAAACUGGGUCUAAUACCGGAUAUGACUCCAUGACGCAUGUUGUGGGGUGGAAAGCCUUGUGCGGCUAGGGAUGGGCCCGCGGCCUAUCAGCUUGUUGGUGGGGUGAUGGCCACCAAGGCGACGACGGGUAGCCGGCCUGAGAGGGCGACCGGCCACACUGGGACUGAGACACGGCCCAGACUCCUACGGGAGGCAGCAGGUGGGGAAUCUUGCGCAAUGGGCGAAAGCCUGACGCAGCGACGCCGCGUGGGGAUGACGGCCU
rnacentral:rRNA from 1 species